UAGGGCACGCCGCAUCGAUCGAUAAUAAUCGUGUGUGUAUGUAUCUAUUCGAGUGUAUUCAUAAUUCAGUGUUGCUAGAUCGAUGUUCAAAUUCUUUAUGUUGUCCGUUUCGAAGCCGAAAACCAGUAAACAAUGAAGAAGAUGCUCCAGCAAAACAAAACUAUGUUCUAUUGCCACCUCAGUGGGCCGGCAAGGGAUAAAAGUGAUUCUACCAAACCUUGCUCUAAGUGGACAAAGAGAAAUGCCAACAUUUCUCGAUAUGGGAUUCCUUGUGACUCGGCUAACUGAAAUAAGAGAAGAACUCUUCAUCUGAGCAAACAAUUGCUGAAGCGAGCUCUAUGUAGGUGGCUAGAAUUGUGUGCUGAGUUACCAUGGACCCUGUAAUAAAACCAACUCAAUACAAUCUUAUUCACGUGAAGAUUGUCUUGUUUAAUAAUAUGUUUGAGACGGAUGGCUCAGAAAUGUUGAAGUAAACAAAGAAGAUGAUUUGCAGUAAACAAAACAAUGAAGAUGAUGCUCCAAAAAGAUGAAAAACAAUUAUCUAAGGCCCGCUAAUCCUCUAAUCUGCUUGUUAUCUACUAUUAUGAAGAAGCUGCCUACUUAUCUAUUUAGUUGAAGAUAAAACAAACGCAGCACAUCGUGGAACUUCUGAAUUUAAAAGAAUCAAGUUUAAAUCUAGCAGUGUAGAUUGGAGUAACCAUAUUGUCUUAUUCUUAUUCCUAUGUAAGAUCAGGGCUCAAAAUACUUAAAAUAGAUGAUGUUCAAGAAACCAUCAAGUUACUUGAAGUAGUUUUAGUAUUUGUCUGUUUAUUUAUUGACAUUUAUUGACCUGUUAAAAUAGGAUUAUGCACUUUGGAACAGUUAUUCAUAAUUUACAAAUUUUUU